rnacentral:rRNA from 1 species
GAGUUUGAUCAUGGCUCAGAUUGAACGCUGGCGGUAUGCUUAACACAUGCAAGUCGAACGGUAACAGGAGAGAGCUUGCUCUUUUGCUGACGAGUGGCGGACGGGUGAGUAAUGCGUAGGAAUCUGCCUAGUAGUGGGGGACAAUGUGUGGAAACGCACGCUAAUACCGCAUACGCCCUACGGGGAAAGCGGGGGAGUCUUCGGACCUCGCGCUAUUAGAUGAGCCUACGUUAGAUUAGCUAGUUGGUGGGGUAAAGGCCUACCAAGGCGACGAUCUAUAGCUGGUCUGAGAGGAUGAUCAGCCACACUGGGACUGAGACACGGCCCAGACUCCUACGGGAGGCAGCAGUGGGGAAUAUUGGACAAUGGGCGAAAGCCUGAUCCAGCAAUACCGCGUGUGUGAAGAAGGCCUGAGGGUUGUAAAGCACUUUCAAUUGUGAGAAUAUUAAGGUUAAUACCUUAAAUUUGUACGUUAACUUUAGU